rnacentral:rRNA from 1 species
CACAUGCAGUCGAGCGGAGAGAGGUAGCUUGCUACUGAUCUUAGCGGCGGACGGGUGAGUAAUACUUAGGAAUCUGCCUAUUAGUGGGGGACAACAUCUCGAAAGGGAUGCUAAUACCGCAUACGUCCUACGGGAGAAAGCAGGGGAUCUUUAUGACCUUGCGCUAAUAGAUGAGCCUAAGUCGGAUUAGCUAGUUGGUGGGGUAAAGGCCUACCAAGGCGACGAUCUGUAGCGGGUCUGAGAGGAUGAUCCGCCACACUGGGACUGAGACACGGCCCAGACUCCUACGGGAGGCAGCAGUGGGGAAUAUUGGACAAUGGGGGGAACCCUGAUCCAGCCAUGCCGCGUGUGUGAAGAAGGCCUUAUGGUUGUAAAGCACUUUAAGCGAGGAGGAGGCUUACCUGGUUAAUACCCAGGAUAAGUGGACGUUACUCGCAGAAUAAGCACCGGCUAACUCUGUGCCAGCAGCCGCGGUAAUACAGAGGGUGCAAGCGUUAAUCGGAUUUACUGGGCGUAAAGCGCGCGUAGGCGGCCAAUUAAGUCAAAUGUGAAAUCCCCGAGCUUAACUUGGGAAUUGCAUUCGAUACUGUUUGGCUAGAGUGUGGGAGAGGAUGGUAGAAUUCCAGGUGUAGCGGUGAAAUGCGUAGAGAUCUGGAGGAAUACCGAUGGCGAAGGCAGCCAUCUGGCCUAACACUGACGCUGAGGUGCGAAAGCAUGGGGAGCAAACAGGAUUAGAUACCCUGGUAGUCCAUGCCGUAAACGAUGUCUACUAGCCGUUGGGGCCUUUGAGGCUUUAGUGGCGCAGCUAACGCGAUAAGUAGACCGCCUGGGGGAGUACGGUCGCAAGACUAAAACUCAAAUGAAUUGACGGGGGCCCGCACAAGCGGUGGAGCAUGUGGUUNAAUUCGAUGCAACGCGANAAAACCUUUACA